UUUAAUUGCAUGCCAAGUGUGUGG
rnacentral:miRNA from 1 species